rnacentral:lncRNA from 1 species
UCCAUCACCCGAACCGACUCCGUCGUCGACAAUCCCAUCAACCAUCCCACCUUUUAUAUACGCCUUUCCCCUCGAUUGCCCCGUCCUCUCCUGCUCCCAUCGCCCGUCGCAGCCUCGUCUUUGUUUCGUCGCGACACAAUCGUGAGGUGCCCCCUAAUCUUGUUCCUCCUCUUCCUUUUCGAUUUACACAAGUUAGAAUCCAGGUUAUAAUUUUGUGAUUUCGUAGGUAUACUAUAUGUUUUGCGUGGUCUGUUCUCUUUGAUUCAGGAUGUCUGAAGAGGUCGUUCCGAUUUGCCUCAUCAGUACAUGUCUAUCCCUUAAGCCAAGUCCGUGAUGGCCGAAUCAGUCGUUGAUGGGUCAGAUUUUCUGGCGGUUCGUGUCUAUCCCUUAAGCCAAGUUGUGUAGGUAUAAUUUUGCUUGUUAGCAAGGCUAGAUCUAGAUCCAUACAUGUUUGGCUCCUUUGUUACUUUCACAAAUUCCCUAAUUCCUUUUCAUGCACGAGCCAAUAUAUUCUCUAGAUAAGUUAGACGGUUUGUGUGUUCUCUUUGAUCCAGGAUGUUGUGUCAUCCGAAGAGGUAGUUCCUGUGCCUCUCAAGUAGAUGUCUAUCGCUGAUCCAAGUUCGUCUGAGAUUUUCUGACGACCCGCUUGUGACGCCUGAAUCAGUUGAUGCGUCAGAUUCGUCAGUUUAUGUUGUAUCCGGGCACACCAACGGUUCAUCUUCAUCGUCUGCUCGAAGAAGGCUCUUAGGUGCUUGCUGCGGUCCACAAGGUGCCCGAGGACAUCCGAUUUAUGGUUCAUGUUCGUGGUUCCUUUAGCUAACCAGAUGAUGCUUUGCCCGUCUCCAAACAUCACAGGAAGGUAAUUGUGUUGGUAAGCUGAUUGGCGCGCAUGUGUGUACGUGCGUGCCUAUUGUAUUAUUGCCUGUUGUAUUACAUUGGUAGCAUAGGACGGCCUUUGCCAUGUCGGGUGCGCUCGCUUGGCAGGCCACGAGACAAUAAAAGGAAUAUUUUGCUGGUGUCCACGGGGUGGAGAUCGCACGGGAACUAUCAAUUUCUUCUAUUUUGCCCGGGUUCUCCACCCUGCCAUGGUGUCUCUGUCCUUCUCCUUUCAUGUGCUGUUGAUUCUGCGAUAUCCUCGUGGUACACCACGAUCCUACAUUAGUAACAAAUAUAUCGAUAGCCCUGAGUGCCGUGAUAACUACGUACUGAAGAUCAAUGAUAACUGAAUUCUGAAGAUCAGUGACAACUACAAAACCAAGGUACAUCUAGCUGCUUCCAUCAGGCAAGCACUUCGUUAUAUCAAUUUAAAUUUGCAUGUGAACGUCACCCCGGCGCAAAACAUAACCAUACUGAACAACUGCAUUUUGGUUUGAUACAAGAUCGAUUCAUACCUGUAAAUCUUGUGCUCUUGCACCGCGCCAGCACGAUAGUACUGAAAUACCCAUGAGAUAUCAUUAGAAUUCUUUUUCAAUGCAAUGUCUUCUGUUAGAAAAAAAGCGUUGUUAACUUUUUGUAGCACAAGCUUUUCCAGAAUUUUUGGUUACUUUGCAUAUUUUCGUCGAUGGUCGUCCAGUUGAAGAAGGCUCUGCCCACAAGGCCUGGGAGGGAACUGGUCAUCCGAUUUAUACUUAAUGUUUGCUGAUCAAAUCCAGAUGACGUUCGUGGUUCCUUUUGCUGACAAGAUGAUGCUUGUCUGUCCCCAAACAUUACAUAAAG